rnacentral:rRNA from 1 species
UAGUCCACGCCGUAAACGAUGAUCACUAGAUGUGGGUUUUGCCUAGCAAAAUCUGUGUCGAAGCUAACGCGUUAAGUGAUCCGCCUGGGGAGUACGGUCGCAAGAUUAAAACUCAAAGGAAUUGACGGGGGUCCGCACAAGCGGUGGAACAUGUGGUUUAAUUCGACACUACGCGAGGAACCUUACCUGGGCUUGACAUGUACUUGCCCGAUGUAGAAAUACAUUUUUCUGUGCUUGCAUAGACGGGUACACAGGUGCUGCAUGGCUGUCGUCAGCUCGUGUCGUGAGAUGUUGGGUUAAGUCCUUUAACGAGCGCAACCCUUACCGUUAGUUGCAACGUCGCAAGAUGGCACUCUAACGGGACUGCCUGGGAAACCAGGAGGAAGGUGGGGAUGACGUCAAGUCCUCAUGGCCCUUAUGUCCAGGGCUACACACGUGUUACAAUGGCGAGUACAACGGGAAGCAAGCUCGCGAGAGUAAGCAAAUCCCAUAAAGCUCGUCUCAGUUCGG